GGUGGCUCAGUGGUAGAGCGCUUGGCUUGUAUUCAUGAGGCCUUGGGUUUGAUUCCUCAGCACCA
rnacentral:tRNA from 1 species